AUUGGGGCUUGCUCCAAUUAGUUAGUGGCAGACGGGUGAGUAACACGCGGGAAUCUACCUAUCAUUACGGAAUAACUUUUAGAAAUAAAAGCUAAUACCGUAUAUUCUCUGCGGAGGAAAGAUUUAUCGCUGAUGGAUGAGCCCGCGUCAGAUUAGGUAGUUGGUGAGGUAAUGGCUCACCAAGUCGACGAUAUGUAGCUGGUCUGAUAGGAUGAUCAGCCGCACUGGGACUGACACAGCGCCCACACUCCUACGAGAGGCAGCAUCGGGGAAUAUUCGACAAUGGCCGAAAGCCUGAUCCAGCAAUACCGAUUGAGUGAUGAAGGCCUCCCGGUUGUAAAACUCUUUUUCCAAGGAAGAUAUCCGUGGGUUA
rnacentral:rRNA from 1 species